rnacentral:rRNA from 1 species
CCCUUAGAUGUUCUGGGCCGCACGCGCGCUACACUGAGCCCUUCAUCGAGUUUACAACCUUGGCCGGUAGGUCUGGGUAAUCUUCUCAAAGGGGCUCGUGCUGGGGAUAGAUUAUUGUAAUUUUUAAUCUUCAACGAGGAAUUCCUAGUAAACGCAAGUCAACAGCUUGCAUUGAUUACGUCCCUGCCCUUUGUACACACCGCCCGUCGCUACUACCGAUUGAAUGGCUUAGUGGGCCCGAGGGACUGUUGCACCUAGAGGGUUUUCUCUCCAGGAGCAGCUGGGAACUCGGUCAAACUUGAUCAUUUAGAGGAAGUAAAAGUCGUAACA